CACAGUAACAUAAAGAUAGCAUCUUUAAGGCCCAAUUUAUACAGUGUACCUGCAAAAAAAGUCGAUUUGGGGUUUUACUACCACUUUAAAAUGGGUCGUUACUGUCGGGUUUUGGAAUCUUUCUUUGUUUUUUGCCUGCUGCUUACACUGUUCCACCACUAGAUGCCGUCUGAGCUUCGGAGGUGAGAAGGAACAGGUGCUCGCAACUGCUCAUCAGUGAAGAGGAGGAUAAGAGAGCAGUUCGCCAGCACUCCUACGCCUGAGUGUUUGCCUAUUGUGGUAACAAGUGCCGGCCAAACCUACCUUAGCUUUCUGAAGCUCCUUUGUGAUUCCAAAGUAACCUGCCUCGUCUUUAUGUUUCUCUCCAGGCUUGACUCCAGUCCGGUUACAACUCUGUUGCAUCCUCGUUUGUGCUGAUUUCCUCAUUUCAAGUUCCAAAUUAAGUUCCUGGAUUCCUUCUCCAGCUGGCGGCUGCUAAAACCUCCUCCUUUCUGGCUCAAGAAUCAAGCGAACCCUGUCCACCCUCCGACGUACUUACCUCCGAGCCCGGCACCGAUAUUCAUCGCUCAGAUCUAGUGGAAUUCAACUUCAAGCAGGCACAGAAUUCAUCUAUCCGGCCCCGCUUUGUCUCUCUCUCAUACAAAGCUCCAUCCACCCAACCAUGGGUGGAAACCAGUUCCAGUUCCUGUUAUCAUAUCACUUCAUCAAAAAUAAACUCUUUAACUUUU